UACGUAGGGUGCAAGCGUUGUUCGGAAUUAUUGGGCGUAAAGAGCUCGUAGGCGGUUUGUUGCGUCGGCUGUGAAAACCUGAGGCUCAACCUCAGGCCUGCAGUCGAUACGAGCAGACUAGAGUGUUGCAGGGGAGACUGGAAUUCCUGGUGUAGCGGUGAAAUGCGCAGAUAUCAGGAGGAACACCGGUGGCGAAGGCGGGUCUCUGGGACGGUACUGACGCUGAGACGCGAAAGCGUGGGGAGCGAACAGG
rnacentral:rRNA from 1 species